rnacentral:rRNA from 1 species
AUUGAACGCUGGCGGCAUGCCUUACACAUGCAAGUCGGACGGUAACGGGUCCUUCGGGAUGCCGACGAGUGGCGAACGGGGGAGUAAUAUAUCGGAACGUGCCCAGUAGAGGGGGAUAACUGCUCGAAAGAGCAGCCACUACCGCAUACGAGCUGAGGGUGAAAGGGGGGGAUCGCAAGAACUCGCGCUAUUGGAGCGGCCGAUAUCAGAUUAGCUAGUUGGUGGGGUAAAGGCCUACCAAGGCAACGAUCUGUAGUUGGUCUGAGAGGACGACCAGCCACACUGGGACUGAGACACGGCCCAGACUCCUACGGGAGGCAGCAGUGGGGAAUUUUGGACAGUGGGCGCAAGCCUGAUCCAGCAAUGCCGCGUGCAGGAAGAAGGCCUUCGGGUUGUAAACUGCUUUUGUCAGGGAAGAAAUCUUCUGGGCUAAUACCCCGGGAGGAUGACGGUACCUGAAGAAUAAGCACCGGCUAACUACGUGCCAGCAGCCGCAGUAA